rnacentral:rRNA from 1 species
AUGGUCCAAAUAUCGUCCCUGAUCCACAACGGAGAUGGUAGACUGAGUAGCAUGCCCUACAUACCAGCAGACCUCACAAACCUAAAGGCAAAGUACCGUAUAGAGAGCAGGUUGGCUGACAUAUAAGUCGCGAUAGCCUACUUUGAAGAGAAAGCAAAAGCAGAUGCUGAUUUCUUCUACAGGAUAAGAUUGGACGAUGAGGACCGUGUCAGAAACAUGUAUUGGGUGGAUGGUGCUGCAAGAAGGGCCUACAAACAUUUCCGUGAUUGCAUAUCAUUCGACGCGACAUAUCUCACUAAUAUGUACAAGAUGCCCUGCGCUCCAUUCAUAGGAAUAAAUAACCACAAUCAAUCAUUGCAGCUCGGUUGUGGACUCGUUCGUAACAAAGAUACGGAUGGUUACACUUGGCUGUUCAAAACCUUCUUGGAGUGCAUGGAUGAGCUUGCUCCGAUGAACAUAAUAACAGACUAG